AGAGUUUGAAUCCUGGCUCAGGAUGAACGCUAGCGGCAGGCUUAACACAUGCAAGUCGAGGGGUAUAAGUCUUCGGAUUUAGAGACCGGCGCACGGGUGCGUAACGCGUAUGCAAUCUACCUUUUACAGAGGGAUAGCCCAGAGAAAUUUGGAUUAAUACCUCAUAGUAUUAUAGAAUGGCAUCAUUUUAUAAUUAAAGUCACAACGGUAAAAGAUGAGCAUGCGUCCCAUUAGCUAGUUGGUAAGGUAACGGCUUACCAAGGCUACGAUGGGUAGGGGUCCUGAGAGGGAGAUCCCCCACACUGGUACUGAGACACGGACCAGACUCCUACGGGAGGCAGCAGUGAGGAAUAUUGGACAAUGGGCGCAAGCCUGAUCCAGCCAUGCCGCGUGCAGGAUGACGGUCCUAUGGAUUGUAAACUGCUUUUAUACGAGAAGAAACACUCCUUCGUGAAGGAAUUUGACGGUAUCGUAAGAAUAAGAUCGGC
rnacentral:rRNA from 1 species